CCUAACAUUUUGUGAAGAGUGCUGAGUCAUUUCAAAUCAUACUGUGAACGUUAUAAAGAACAUCAGUCCCCUUGGUGCAGUGCUGAUGAUGUUCUACGGCCAAGAUGGUACCCUGAAGUUUUCUGGGAAUAAGAUCCGUUUUUAGACAAAAUAGCAGGAAAGCCAUCUGGAGCUCUGAAGUGGGGAACAUAUGUAUGGAAAACCUGGCAGCUUUUCCAGGCAUUCUUCAGUUUCACUUGGAUAACUUACUGCAGUCUCAGUGAGAUAACAAAGCAAUUUCUCUCCAAUUACAGAUAUAGAGAUAGAAACAUGAAGCAAUGGGAACAGAAGAAAACACACAAGCCAGCUCUUUCAGUGAGAAGACCAGGAAAGAGUCAGUCUGGAGUGCUUCAUGUGCCCAUGGGAUUCUGUCUCAACUCUUUCAGUGUCCGUAUC